rnacentral:ncRNA from 10 species
UUGUAGACUGCGCGAGCCGGUCUCCCGCCGAGUUAAUAGGGAAUCCAGUGCAAAUCUGGAGCUGACGCGCAGCGGUAAGGAAUGUCGUGGCGAUAGCGCAUAGCAGACACUGUCAUCUGACGGGAAGUCAUCGCCAUAUUAUCGAUUCCAAGCCCGAAGACCUGCCGGCAACACGUCGCACUUU